GAAGAUGGGUAGCAGCAGUUUCCCAAAUGUAAUAACAGCACAAGAAGCUUCAUGGGGGUGAAGUUUGGAAUGGGUCCACGCAGCACAAACAGGAACCACCUCCUCCCUCUGCCAGCCAGCUGGGAGAGCCCAGCGUGCACUACUGCAGGGAGAGCAGCCAGCUCCCCAGCAGCACUGCCGCUCCUUGCUGUGGCCAGGGGGAGGGCUUUGCAUCUGCAGCAGUUACUAACAGUCUUCAUCUGAGGGAGAAAGGGGCCCCAGCUACUGCUCAACUCAUCCAAAACCUUAAGAAGGCGAGAAGGAGGCUAGUGGUGGUUAUGUUUAGGUUCUUGGUUGCUCUAGGGCAGGAAGAUGUAUGUGUCACCCUUCCACUCAAAUCAAGUAAUCAGCCACUUGCCAUGUGAGAUCUGUGUGGAGAAAGAGAGAGAGGAAAGCUUGAAGUGUCUGCCUUUCUGCAUGAACCCAAGAAAAACCCAGCACUUGAACUGGAAGCUUCACGCUUGGAUGGCUGCCAUGAGGUGAAGCGAAUCCUGCUCCAAAUGAAUCCGCAUGAGCUGAAGAUGCCAGGUUAUGGAACAACUGCAUAUGAAAAAAUGUAUAUCUGAUGUAAGGGCUCCUUAACCAUGUUAACUGUCUCAAUGGGAAAGGAGCUUUUUGUAAUUAAAAGUACAAGGGAAUUUCUACCUCUUUCUGGGAUGUAAGUGAGCUCCAUCUCCAGAAACCGUGUCCUGCAGUGUAAUUGCAUAUAAUGUUUCAGAGAGCUUCAAAACCUCCUCUUAAGCAACUUAUGAUGAAAAUUCUAUACCAUUACAUUAAUACAGUGAAAAUCACUGUAUGUCUUCAAGAAGGGAGCAGGUCUGGAGUAAGAAAAGAGCUGCUGUGAUAUGAGGAGAUGUGGGAGUAGGAGAAGCUAUUGAUGGAGAACUAGCACCAGGACCUGGCAUCUGAAUUGAAAGAGGUGUUUUAGAGCAGAGGCAUUUCUUUUGUAGUUAUCACACUUUUUUUUUUUUUUUUUUUCCCUCCAGAUACAUUUUGUUCAGAUUCUCUUGUGUUUCUUUGCUGACAGUUUUCCAGAGAACAAAUGAACACAAACAAAAAUGCUUUGGCAAUGCUUUGGUGUUUUCAGCCAAGCAGAAAAUGUAAG